AAGUCGUAACAAGGUUUCCGUAGGUGAACCUGCGGAAGGAUCAUUACCUAGAGUUGUAGGCUUUGCCUGCUAUCUCUUACCCAUGUCUUUUAAGUACCUUACGUUUCCUCGGCGGGUCCGCCCGCCGAUUGGACAAUUUAAACCAUUUGCAGUUGCAAUCAGCGUCUGAAAAAACUUAAUAGUUACAACUUUCAACAACGGAUCUCUUGGUUCUGGCAUCGAUGAAGAACGCAGCGAAAUGCGAUAAGUAGUGUGAAUUGCAGAAUUCAGUGAAUCAUCGAAUCUUUGAACGCACAUUGCGCCCCUUGGUAUUCCAUGGGGCAUGCCUGUUCGAGCGUCAUUUGUACCUUCAAGCUCUGCUUGGUGUUGGGUGUUUGUCUCGCCUCUGCGUGUAGACUCGCCUCAAAACAAUUGGCAGCCGGCGUAUUGAUUUCGGAGCGCAGUACAUCUCGCGCUUUGCACUCAUAACGACGACGUCCAAAAGUACAUUUUUACACUCUUGACCUCGGAUCAGGUAGGGAUACCCGCUGAACUUAAGCAUAUCAAUAA
rnacentral:rRNA from 1 species